rnacentral:rRNA from 1 species
UACAGAGGGGGCGAGCGUUGUUCGGAAUUACUGGGCGUAAAGGGCGCGUAGGCGGCCUAUUAAGUCAUACGUGAAAUCCCUCGGCUCAACCGGGGAACUGCGUGUGAUACUGAUUGGCUUGAAUUCGGGAGAGGGAUGCGGAAUUCCAGGUGUAGCGGUGAAAUGCGUAGAUAUCUGGAGGAACACCGGUGGCGAAGGCGGCAUCCUGGACCGAUAUUGACGCUGAUGCGCGAAAGCCAGGGGAGCAAACGGG